UGUUGUUAGAAUACCAAUGGGAAUGGGGAUUUUGCAGUUCUUGUUCUUAUAUGUGCAUUGUACAUUAGCUCACACAUAGAUCUAGUUUGCACAAUUUAUGUUGGUUUCAGUUAUGUUAUGAAAUUUGUGUUGCUAUUGGUUUUCUUUGUGCUCAAAUGAUGAAAUCUAGAUUUUAGUAAUAAGAAUUCCAAAAUAGUUAAAUAAUUCAAACAAUUUUUUCCAAUACCAUCUAAAAGGGUGUUUUUUCUGAAAUGCAGAUUUGAACCUGAGCAACAAAUUUGUUCAUAAUUUUUUACAACUUACAAG
rnacentral:misc_RNA from 1 species